rnacentral:tRNA from 6 species
GGAGAGGUGGGUGAGUGGCUGAAACCAGUUCCCUGCUAAGGAACCGUACGCGAAAGCGUACCGAGGGUUCGAAUCCCUCCCUCUCCGCCA